UCUGGUAAGGUUUGUGAUCCCUCAAAACGGCAAUCGCUGAAAGGGUGGGAUGCAGCAAACAUCAUGAUCAUCUAAUGAAAAUGAAAUGAGAUUAACAUGAGAUCAUACUAUGCAGUUAAUUUCAACUGACGUGUAUCCAGGGAGAAAACCACAACAAUAUGAACUUCCCACUGAAAUCAACAUUGGAUUCAUCAUUAAUAUGAACUUCUACAAUCCUCUACUCUCUGUCUGGUAAGGUUUGUGAUCCCUCAAAACGGCAAUCGCUGAAAGGGUGGGAUGCAGCAAACAUCAUUAUCAUCUAAUGCAAACGAAAUGAGAUUAACAUGACACCAUAUUAUGCAGUUAAUUUCAACUGACGUGUAUCCAGGGAGAAAACCACAACAGUAUGAACUUUCCACUGAAAUCAACAUUGGAUUCAUCAUUAAUAUGAACUUCCACAAUUCUCUAUCUCUCUGUCUGGUAAGGUUUGUGAUCCCUCAAAACAGCAAUUGCUGAAAGGGUGGGAUGCAGCAAACAUCAUUAUCAUCUAAUGCAAACGAAAUGAGAUUAACAUGAGAUCAUAUUAUGCAGUUAAUUUCAACUGACGAGUAUCCACGGGGAAAACGACAACAAUAUGAACUUUCCACUGAAAUCAAGAGUCCACAAAUCACAAUAUGACAGACAUUGGAUUCACCCUUCCCUCCUAGAGACAACAGCACUAGAAUUACCAACAUUUGCGACCACCAAGCGACCAGUGACAAGAAUAGCUGUUGACGCACUUGAGCCAGCAUCUCUGGUGGUUACUAUCAGCUUCCAUAGGAGUCUGUUCGAUUUAAUGUUUCAGCUGCAGAAGUGAAGAAAUAAAAGGAAAUCAGAAUCACAAUAUUUUGGUCCACAACAGUUUCUGCAUAUGAAACAGCAUAUCAAUUCAGGACAUGAAGUUCUGACUUGUGAGAGAAUUAUAUCGAACAGCAUGCAGUCAGUUGCAUUUUCGGAGUAGCCAGCGCUCCACUAUCAUGGUCAUCGCCAAGCUCCAAGGGGAGCGAGCAUGCUGCUGCACAUAAACAACUCCGCCGCUGGCCGCCGGGGCACCUCCCCGCGGCGAAGCACCACGCCUGAAGGGAGGGCCAGAUCCACCCAGGCUCUGGAUCCGAGCCCCCCACGCAAGCCACCACGAGGCCCAC
rnacentral:lncRNA from 1 species